GUAACAAGGUCUCCGUAGGUGAACCUGCGGAGGGAUCAUUACACAAUAAAAUACGAAGGCCGUUCGCGGCUGGACUAUUUAUUACCCUUGUCUUUUGCGCACUUGUUGUUUCCUGGGCGGGUUCGCUCGCCACCAGGACCACAAUAUAAACCUUUUUUAUGCAGUUGCAAUCAGCGUCAGUAUAACAAAUGUAAAUCAUUUACAACUUUCAACAACGGAUCUCUUGGUUCUGGCAUCGAUGAAGAACGCAGCGAAAUGCGAUACGUAGUGUGAAUUGCAGAAUUCAGUGAAUCAUCGAAUCUUUGAACGCACAUUGCGCCCUUUGGUAUUCCAAAGGGCAUGCCUGUUCGAGCGUCAUUUGUACCCUCAAGCUUUGCUUGGUGUUGGGCGUUUUUGUCUUUGGCCCGCCAAAGACUCGCCUUAAAAUGAUUGGCAGCCGGCCUACUGGUUUCGCAGCGCAGCACAUUUUUGCGCUUGCAAUCAGCAAAAGAGGACGGCAAUCCAUCAAGACUCCUUCUCACGUUGACCUCGGAU
rnacentral:rRNA from 1 species